rnacentral:lncRNA from 1 species
CAGGUGGGCUGAUCCGGCUACUGAAGCAAUUUCAGCGCUGGGUGGACUAUUAGAUUGCACAUCUUCAAAGAAGAUUCCAUCUACCUUUAAGGAGUUAAUUAAAUUCGCACCAAGCAAGCCUGCACGUGAGACUUUGCAGGACAAGAGGAAGCCAACAAUGUUGCUCAGCAGGCUGGGAUAUUCAUCUCUGGCCAGAAAAGCAACACACACACACACACACCAUGGAGGGGACGGGGGCAGGUGAGACAGAAGGACAUGUCAAUUAAAUAAACGUGUCAGCAUCACUCCUUACUCAGGUGCACACAUACAUGUCAGUCAAAUAAAUUUGCAUCUUAAUAGCACUUAGUGAUGACGAUAUACACACUAAAAGAACUACAG